rnacentral:rRNA from 1 species
CAGCAGCCACGGGAAUACGUAGGUGGCAAGCGUUGUCCGGAAUUAUUGGGCGUAAAGGGCUCGCAGGCGGUUUCUUAAGUCUGAUGUGAAAGCCCCCGGCUCAACCGGGGAGGGUCAUUGGAAACUGGGAAACUUGAGUGCAGAAGAGGAGAGUGGAAUUCCACGUGUAGCGGUGAAAUGCGUAGAGAUGUGGAGGAACACCAGUGGCGAAGGCGACUCUCUGGUCUGUAACUGACGCUGAGGCUCGAAAGCCAGGGGAGCGAACGGGAUUAGAUACCCCUGUAGUCCCUGUCUCUUAUAC